rnacentral:rRNA from 1 species
CCUACGGGAGGCAGCAGUGAGGAAUAUUGGACAAUGGGCGGGAGCCUGAACCAGCCAAGCCGCGUGAAGGAAUAAGGCGCCACGCGUUGUAAACUUCUUUUGUCGGGGAGCAAAGUGCGCCACGUGUGCCGUUCUGAGUGUACCCGACGAACAAGCAUCGGGUAACUCCGUUCCAGCAGCCGCGGUAAUCCGGACGAGGCGAGCGUUAUCCGGAUUUGUGGGGUUGAAGGGGUGCGUGGGCGGUUCGGAAAGUCAGCGGUAAAAGCGCGGGGCUCAACCCCGGCGCGCAGUUGAAACUGUCGGACUAGAGUCGGCGAGAGGUACGCGGAAUGCGCGGUGUAGCGGUGAAAUGCAUAGAUAUCGCGCAGAACUCUGGUUGCGAAGGUAGCUUACCGGAGAGGAACUGACGCUGAGGCACGAAGGCGUGGGUAGCGAAAAGGAUUAGAUACCCUUGUAGUC